AUGAAUCGUCUCUCAAGCCCCGGCCCAGACGGGUUCGGCCCCUCCUUCUAUGUCUCCUUCUGGGCCACUAUCGCGACAGACGUUGAGGCGGUCUUCCAUGACUUCUACUCCGGGUCUCUCGACCUCUCUCGCAUUAACCGUGCCUUCCUGGUCCUCCUCCCCAAGUUUGAGGCGGCUCGUUCCCCCCAAGACUUUCGCCCCAUUUCCCUUCAAAAUUGCAUCAUGAAGGCGAUCACCAAGGCCUUGUGCACUCGGCUGCAGCGUUACAUU
rnacentral:rRNA from 1 species